rnacentral:rRNA from 1 species
UCCGGAUCUCAGCUCAAGCAAGAGGACCCGCCGAAUUUAAGCAUAUUAUUAAGCGGAGGAAAAGAAACUAACCAGGAUUCCCCUAGUAAGGGCGACUGAAACGGGAAGUGCUCAGGAUGUGAAUCUGCGCUUUUGCGCCGAAUUGUGGUCUGUAGACAGCGACGUUACCAGCCGGGCCAAGUCCCUUGGAAAAGGGCAGCUGAGAGGGUGAGACUCCCGUCCGCCCGGUAGGAUGAGUUGCUAGUCAAGGAGUCGAGUUGUUUGGGAUUGCAGCUCAAAGUGGAUGGUAAAUUCCAUCUAAAGCUAAAUAUUGGUGGGAGACCGAUAGCGUACAAGUACCGUGAGGGAAAGAUGCAAAGAACUUUGAAAAGAGAGUUAAAGAGUACCUGAAAUUGCUGAAAGGGAAGCGAAGGAAACCAGUGCUGUACCUGGUCAUAUUUCCCUGGCCGCUUGCGGCUUGGGCGCUGUGUCCGGUUUGCGUUGUGCUUUGUUGGAACUUGCGGAAGAGCGUUGAGAGAGUUGAUCUUAAUUGCUAGCGUUGGUUUUGACCGAGUAGGACGAAAUGGUUUUCUUUACCCCGUCUUGAAACACGGACCAAGGAGUCUAA